GGACGCUCUACCGGGGUGGGGGUUCCCAGAAAGGAGGGGGAGAGGAGCCCCAGUAGGGGAAUCCUGCCCUCUCAAGUAAAAAGCUGGAUCCCCCGGCAGCAGGCUGCAGCCCGUCCUCGCUAAGGAAACGACGAGUCAGACAGAGGGCCUUUUGCUCGGAAAGGCAGAAGGCAGACACUUUCCGAGGUCCGGACGCAAGCCGAUCCCCCAUCCCCCGAGGGAGGCGAAGGGUGCCCCAUGGGUGGCUGAGGGGACGCCCGGCCCGCGAGGGACAACCCGAGGAGGAGCAGUUUCAUCUGAUUAACACCUGAGUCUCGUCCAGUGUGACAUUCUUCAGAAUUCAUCCUGGAAUCAAUAUUAUGCCAAAGAAAAUUUUCUGAAAGUCUUGCUGUGUCAGCCAGGCUGGAAUGCAGUGGCGCCAUCUCAGUUCACUGCAACUUCUGUCUCCUGGGCUCAAGCAAUUCUCCUGCCUCAGCCUCCCGAGUAGCUGGGAUUACAGCUACACAGAUCAUACCACUGCAACUCAGCCAACCAGCACAUCGGACAGUGGGAGGAGGAAUUCUUGGCUAAGAGUACUGAGGUAAACUCUUCAUCUACUUGGAAAUGCUUAGAACAGAAAAGCCUGUACCCUGAUUUACUGAGAGGAAAAGUUGGCUGACUCUUGGUCUGAAUUGAAAUAUUCCUCCUUUGACCAAUACCAUGAAUAAAAAAAGAACCAGACUAAGGACAUUACUGUGAGUUUUCAGAACAUCAGAGAUAAAGAGAAAAACCUGAGAUUCCACAGAGAAACGAAGGUCAUUUUACAAAGGAUCAGAAAUGAGAAUGGGAUUGAACUUCUCAAAACCAGCAGUGGAGAGUACAAGAAAGUAGAGCAUUGCCCUCAAUAUACUGCAGGGAAAACAACUUUCAACGUGGAAUUUAAUCCAGUGUAAGGAUAGAAUAGAGUGUUUUUAGACAGCCAUGUCUCAAAAAUUGUACUUUUUGUCUUCUGCAGAGGAGAUGAUUCAGUGCAAUAAGGAAAUAAACCAAGACAUGAAAGAUAUGGAGGACUGUGGGCAGGACAGUGACAGGAGAUCCUAGAAAGACAGCUGGGCUCCAGGCCCAGAGAGCAACUGGUCCAGGCUGGAGCAGAACUGAGUUGGCCAGGGCUGGGGUCUCCAGGGAAAAAAAAAAGAACCAAUGGUUUAUCUAUGUGCUGGACCCAGUGG
rnacentral:lncRNA from 1 species